UGAGCGCUUCAUCUUUUCCUUCCGUUUGUGUGCCUUCCCUCGCCUCGCCUCCAGCGGGCAACACAAGCCCGUGUUGUGAGAAGCAAGCCAAGCCAGAAUCUCACAAGUGCGACUGAGGCACCAUCACGAUAUCCAGUUAUGGCUGAUCUGGAGACGGCUGAUCGCAGCGGAAAGUUUCAGUCUUUCUGUGUCCCUCGUAACAACACACAAUCUAAAUACUGCCACUAUGCCAUCAUCACAUUAAAGGCAUGAUUUUAGCAAACAGCACUGCAACCAGCAAAGGGAGGAAACGGCUGUCAGUACCACUCGACCAAAGCCACACCCUGAAAAGUGAAGAGACAGGAAACACACCCAUACAGUCUGUACUGCAGAGGGAGUCUGCCUGGCUGCUUGGGCGUCAGGAUGUCUGAAUGCUGCUAUGCCUUUCUUGCUGUCCACUCUCAUCACUGCCUGGCUGCCUGCCAAUCAGACCACCUGCCUGCCAGUCUCUCUACCUGAUGACCUGCCUAUUUGGCUGACUGUCUGCCUGUUUUCACGUCUAUCCGUCUCAAGUGCUGACCGGCCCAUCAACAUGACUUCCUGUGACUGCCUGUCUUGAGACUUCCUUUAUGUGGACAUAAAGAUUUGACUUGGUCUUAAUGGCCUCAUGUUCCACACAGACAGAUUCAGAUUGUACAGCAGAAGGGGAAAAUAGUCUGACAUGGCUGGAGAAUUGUUUAUACUGUAUGUACUCAAAAUCAAAAUGUUGUGACAACAGCUCCUACCUUGCAUGGUGAAAUGUAAGUAUUUUGUGUUCUAACAAUCAUAUUCAAUCACUGGAGAAAAAGACUCAACCAGGAGUCAUUUUAUUAGUUUGACAUCUGGCUGUGUAUCUCAUCUACUGUAGGAUAGUUGUCCACUCACCCUUGAGCAAGGAGCACCAAAUGACAUGCUGACUGACCGCCACAAGAAAAGAGAGAUAAGGCUAUAAAGAGCAUGAUGUGAAAACAAGGAACCUGCUGCUGUGUUUGCUUUAAAAAAACAUAUCUGUUACUCCGGGCCUGACCUUGGAAUUUCAGUGUGUUUCCAGAGUGAGAAUCUAGUGUGGCCUGUCAGAUUUGACGUGUAAGAACGCCAAAUGGUGUUUGUGGUGGACUCAAUUAUAAAACCAGAUGAACUGAUUUAGCUGAAGGUUUUUACUUGUAGCAACUAGACAAUCAAUACACAGUCCGGGAUACACAAUCAGGUCGAUAAGACAGUCCAGGGUCAACGCCGGUAGACAGGUAUAGCCAGGAGAUCCAA